AAGUAGUUUCCCAGCUAUUGGUCAGAAUGCCUGGUUAUUUGAGCAAGGACACAGCAGCAGAAGUAAAGUACCACAGAUUCUUGUAAAAUGAAAAGUCAACGUGAUACUUCAAGCUGGAUCAAGUACUUUGGCACAGGAACCAAACUAGUUGUUUCCGACAUACAAGCAAAACUUGACCCCAGCAAGAUGCAGGUCCUGCCUCCUUCUACUGAACACAAUGGGAAAGUAACACACAUAUGCCUCAUUGAGGAUUUUUACCCGAAUGUUAUUAAGGUGACUUGGGAAGACGACAAGAAGAAUGCAGAGGAAAAUGCAGUGCAUGGGGAAAUUUGGCCCCCUGAUGACAAUCAACCUUCAUACUCAAUAAGCAGCUGGCUGACCGUAGAUAAAGAUAGCAGCAAGAAUUAUCGCUGCAAAUAUCAACAUGAAAAAAAAGAAGGUUUUGUCUCUAUCGAAUCUCCAGAUAUAACAGACAGGUUCAUUCACAGGACGGCAUAUUUAAUAUACAUUGUCCUUCUCCUGAAAAGCACCAUGUACUACGUCAUUGUACUUUUCUUCAUAUACAGAACGCAAAGUCCAAUCAAGCGAGAGGGAAAGAAACCUUAAAAUUCUCUGUACGCUUUCCAGCGUCAGAUUUGUGUAUGAAAUUUACUUUGCUUUGCCAUAAACCUGUUCAUAUGAAACACCUUGCUCUAAAUAUUAAGACAUGCAUUUCAAUUUGAUUUUGUUGGCUAUUUCUUUAAUUAGCACAGAUGGAUUAUUCUGCUUGAGAGUGAACAAUUUUAUAUGUGACCGUAUUUCCAAUUUUAUUAUUUCAAUUUUGUAACUGUGGAACUUCAAGGGCUGAGGCUACACUCCUUGAUUUGAAUGGGAAUAAUUGCAUCAUAAAGUCGUGCAGAACCAGUCUCUUAGGCCCUUAUCCUGCAAAAACACUUGUGCACA